UACGUAGGGUGCGAGCGUUAAUCGGAAUUACUGGGCGUAAAGCGUGCGCAAGCGGCGCGUUAAGACAGGUGUGAAAGCCCCGAGCUUAACUUGGGAAUUGCGCUUGUGACUGGCGUGCUGGAGUGUGGCAGAGGGAGGUGGAAUUCCACGUGUAGCAGUGAAAUGCGUAGAGAUGUGGAGGAACACCGAUGGCGAAGGCAGCCUCCUGGGCCAGCACUGACGCUCAUGCACGAAAGCGUGGGGAGCAAACAGG
rnacentral:rRNA from 1 species